rnacentral:rRNA from 1 species
GACGAACGCUGGCGGCGUGCUUAACACAUGCAGGUCGAACGGAAAGGCCCUGCUUUUGUGGGGUGCUCGAGUGGCGAACGGGUGAGUAACACGUGAGUAACCUGCCCUUGACUUUGGGAUAACUUCAGGAAACUGGGGCUAAUACCGGAUAGGAGCUCCUGCUGCAUGGUGGGGGUUGGAAAGUUUCGGCGGUUGGGGAUGGACUCGCGGCUUAUCAGCUUGUUGGUGGGGUAGUGGCGUACCAAGGCUUUGACGGGUAGCCGGCCUGAGAGGGUGACCGGCCACAUUGGGACUGAGAUACGGCCCAGACUCCUACGGGAGGCAGCAGUGGGGAAUAUUGCACAAUGGGCGGAAGCCUGAUGCAGCAACGCCGCGUGCGGGAUGACGGCCUUCGGGUUGUAAACCGCUUUCGCCUGUGACGAAGCGUGAGUGACGGUAAUGGGUAAAGAAGCACCGGCUAACUACGUG